CUGGGGUUUAACGGCCCAAAAUAAUGAUGUGAUCAUGAGAGGCACCGCAGUGUAGGGCUCCGGAAAUUUCGACCACCUGGGGCUCUUAACAUGCACCUAGAUCUAAGUACAUGGGCCUCAAACAUUUUCGCCUCCA
rnacentral:lncRNA from 1 species